rnacentral:rRNA from 1 species
AACACCGGUGGCGAAAGCGCUCUACUGGGUCGCACCUGACCCUCAGGGACGAAAGCUAAGGUAGCGAAAGGGAUUAGAUACCCCUGUAGUCUUAGCCGUAAACGAUGGAUACUAGGCGUGGUUGGUAUCGACCCCAGCCGUGCCGAAGCUAACGCGUUAAGUAUCCCGCCUGGGGAGUACGCACGCAAGUGUGAAACUCAAAGGAAUUGACGGGGGCCCGCACAAGCGGUGGAGGAUGUGGUUUAAUUCGAUGCAACGCGAAGAACCUUACCAGGGCUUGACAUCCCGCGAAUCCCAGUGAAAGCUGGGAGUGCCUUCGGGAGCGCGGAGACAGGUGGUGCAUGGCUGUCGUCAGCUCGUGUCGUGAGAUGUUGGGUUAAGUCCCGCAACGAGCGCAACCCUCGUCCUUAGUUGCCAGCCUUAAGUGGGGCACUCUAGGGAGACUGCCGGUGACAAACCGGAGGAAGGUGAGGAUGACGUCAAGUCAGCAUGCCCCUGAUGCUCUGGGCGACACACGUCCUACAAUGGUCGGGACAAAGGGCAGCGAGCUCGCGAGAGUCAGCAAAUCCCAGCAAACCCGGCCUCAGUUCAGAUUGCAGGCUGCAACUCGCCUGCA